CUUGCAGCUAGGUGAACACUGACAGCAGGUGCUUUAAGGAAAUGCAACCAAUGUUUCCACCCAUACCGGGGAUCAAACCACUGACCUCAAUGUGUGAGCUACCAACUGCAGUAGACCUUCUGGCCUAUGUGGAGCUGGAUAUGAGGUUACCCUAAGCCACUGGUUCUGCAGAGCAUUUUGGGCUGACUAAGACUAGAAUUUGAAACUUCUUGACACGUCAUAGUUGUAAGAUAAGAUAAGAUAAGAUUUCGUUCGGAUUUUUAACCCCGGAGGGUUAGCCACCCAGGAUAACCCAAGAAAGUCAGUGCGUCAUCGAGGACUGUCUAACUUAUUUCCAUUGGGGUCCUUAAUCUUGUCCCCCAGGAUGCGACCCACACCAGUCGACUAACACCCAGGUACCUAUUUGCUGCUAGGUGAACAGGACAAUAGGUGUAAGGAAACGUGUCGGAAUUUCCACCCCCCGGGAAUCGAACCCGGGCCCUCCGUGUGUGAAGCGGGAGCUUUAGCCACCAGACCACCGGGCCACCAAUAAUGUAUUGUUUACAUUAUUGUUCGAAUGGCACUCAACUUGCAGACUCCUCUGCAGUUCAGGACCUUUCAGUCUCCUGUGGAAGGUGGCCCAUUUCCAGCACUGUCUAGGUACCCUCAAGAUCACUGGCAACUUAGAUCUGUUGCAGUGUCUCACCAAAGGAGCUGCCUUGCUGAUAGUGAAGGACCCUUGAUCUGAGGAACUGGAGUUAUCCUUCCGUUGGAUCCCAUCAGAAUGUUUGCCAUCCUGCUCCAACACCGUAGUUGUGUUGUCUUCGUCCUGCCCACGUACUGUUACUGGUAUGUAGUCUUUUUUGUGGUUUGAGUUUUGGAUACUGUCGAUUAUAGUGUAUGGACUGAUUUGUUGAACCUAUAUAUUUCUGCUGUUUUGUAGAUUUAAGCCGUUAUUAUAAUCAUGGGGAAUGCUAAACCCAUUGGGAUUAUACAGCACCUGUAGAGGGGGAAGGUAUUCAGACACAAUUCAGGGAACUGGAGCACAGAUCCAAUUCCCUAGAUCAAGAGCCCUUCACCAGCAUCAAGGAACCUCCCUUGAGGGGUAGAUUUAGACCAAAACUUAGGUUUGGAUUAUUUUAUAGAGCACAGGGAAAACAUCUUGUAGGGCUUGCCCCAUCAAAGGAGGUUUUUUGAUACUGAGAAGAGAUUGUUGAUCUAAAGAAUUGGACUUAACCUCCCAUUCCUUGUACUAAUGCUAAUUAUCUUCCUCAUGAGUAUAAUGCAGUAACGUGUAUACAUUAUUUUAAAAGUGAAUAUAGGAAAGAGUAAGGUGUUGAGGAUAAAAAAUUUAGAUAACGAAAGAUUGGAGAAGGUAAAUGUAUUUAGAUAUUUGGGAGUGAUUGUGUCAACAGAUGUGUCUAUGAAAGAUGAGGUGAAUCAUAUAAUUGAUGAGGAAAAAAAGAUGAGUGGUGCUCUGAGGAGUCUAGGGAGACAAAGAACAUUGUCCAUGGAAGCAAAGAGGGGAAUGUAUGAGAGUAUAGUUAUACCAACGCUUUUAUAUGGGUGCGAAAUGUUGCAGUAAAAGAAGGCUGGAGGCAGUGAAGAUGUCAUGUGUGAGAGCAAUGUGUGGUGUGAAUAUAAUGGUGAAGAUACAUAGUUUGGAAAUUAGGAGGAGUUGCGGGAUUCCCAAAGGUAUUGUCCAGAUGAUGAAACGAUUCCUCUCACACUCCACAAUUUCCUUGACUUAACUCCUUCCUUACUUAGGGGAAAAAGAGACAAAUUAUUCACCAGUGAAGGUCGUAAUUAACCCUAACCUUCAUUUACACAAGAAUAUCUGUAAUGUUAAAUUUAUGCCAUUACUCUGGCACAACAGUCUCGGAACUACCAUCCAUUGCUCUAAUGAGUUUUUACAUAACCAGGCACAUGUAUUUGUGUUGAAAUGAAUUUCUAAGUUCACCAUUAUCAAGAGUGAGUGAGGAGAACCUUGAAUACAAGAUUAUCUUUCUGGCCAGGUACAUCUUGACUGCAGGAAUAAAAUAAUGCCUGAAAUUAAUCAACAAACAGGGUUUGUCUUGAUGUUUUACAGCACUGUACAUUACCAUUGCCUUGCAAUUGAACGGUUGCAUUUGUUCAGAGAAACAAGGUAAUGUUUACUUUGCAACACGCUGCACUUUUUACUUGCUAGUUAAUGUGGGUUCUUGAUGGCAUUCACCUUCAAGGUUGUCCUAUCUUGUUAACGUUAAACACUCAGAAAGGUACACAAUACCAACAAGAUGAAAGUUAAGACACAUGUGCAACAUCUUUAUUUAGACAUUUCUCCAUUAAGGUGGCUUUAUCAGUACAGAUUCUAGGACAUAACUAGUUAUGUCCUAGAAUCUGUAUUGAUAAAGCCACAUCUACAAUAAAGACACCCAGAUGUCGCACGUGUCUUAACUUUCAUUGAAUACUCAGUUUAGACUGUAACUGUUCUCAGAAAUAAUUUGCUUAGAGUAUGCAGGGAAAUUUUGCAUUGGAUUGUGAUCAGCUGCUGUACUCUUGACUCCACAUCUUGUGUUAUGAAACUGAUUGUCCUUUCAAACAGUCACACAAACAUACUGUUGUCAACACUGUCCUUAAGCAAUGUUUUGCAGUAUUGUGUCUUACUUUCUGAGCAUUAAGUAGGGACACUUUUCUUGUGUUCUGUCUAAUUGUAUGUAUGGUGAAUUAUCUCAGACAAAACAUACAAGCAUUAUACAUAUUUAAAGUGUCCAUCUUCAGUACCCUUGGAGCUGAUUAUUAUAUUCUGCUUGAUAACUCUAGCAUCACUGAUAUUUCUCUCGGGUGCCAUGUUGAAUAUCCAGAAUAGAGAUGAUGUGAGAAAAAAGAUCCAAAAUGCUUUGAUGACACUGAGAAAAGAACAAAACAAUCCCAACUUGUGUUGAAGGGAAGGAAAUCAACUAUGCAAACUUAAGUGAUUUUUACAUAUAAACUUGAGUAUUCGGUGCCAACAAAGUUUUUUCGAAUGAUAAUCAAGAAAAGAAUUCGGUUAAUCAGUACUACAAGUUUGAGUCCAUAUUAUCUCAGUGCUAACUAACUCUUUCUGUAGUUGACGUCUUGAUCAAACUCUAAUAAUAUUACCUUGAAUUUGGAAACUACAUGAACCUUCUGUACUCCACCUCUUGUUUGAGCUCUAAUAAUCUUGCCUGUAAAUUCUAACCCAUGUUACAUUUAAUUUUAAGCCUAGAGGUCUCCCUCACUAGUAUAGAAUUUAAUUCAGAAUAGACUUAUUGGAUUUGCCACACUCAAAUUGCUUUCUUUUAUAUGAAUAUAAACCCACAGAAUGAUUUUUGAAGAGGUAUCCCUCAGAUGGUACCUCACCACCACAAUGAUGCACACUUAACACCAACCAUCCGAUGGUACCUCACCACCAGCCAUCCGAUGGUACCUCACCACCACAAUGAUGCACACUUAACACCAACCAAUCGAUGGGCCACAGGAGUUAAAAGUGCACAGGAACCACUCAUUCUGAUGACUUUAGUAGUUUACUGGACUGGAUUGAUAUGUAGUGAGGUCCAAGGAUGUGAUAACUGCAUAAAGGCGGUGUGUGGUCAAGAAAGAAAAAUCCCGAAGGUUGCUUGAUGUAAGGUAUUGCUCAAGCUGUGUCACCUCCAGUCCUUGGCGUCAUUAUAUUCGUUGUGCCUGCUAUAAUUUUGUAUUUCUCUUCCUAUCUAUCUUAGCAUAUUUUACUUUCUGGGACCCUAUGGAGGUGAUGAGGGGCUCUUGAUCCAAGGGAUUGUCCUAUCCUCCCUUUCUUUGAAUUGAAUUUUAUUUCCCUAAAUGUAAUUAAAUAAAUAACAAGGCACAAUACUGUGACUUACUAUAGGUGUGCGGCCGUCUCUCUGACUCCAUUGUGUAGAUUACAUCUUUGCUCUCAUGGCUGUAGUAGUCUCUUUCACCAUUUCUCAAUGUCCUUAACCCUUAAACUGUCCAAACAUAGAUCUGCGUUCACAUGUGUAGUGCUCCAAACGUAGAUCUAUGUUUUUUUUUUUUUUUUGUUUGAAAGCAUGUAAAACGUAGAUCUACAUUUGGACAGUUUAAGGGUUAAUUUUUGCUUCCAUUAAGUUUAAAGCUGAAUGGGAAUCUAAUUCUUUGCUUCCUUUCAUUGAUGUACAUGCCCUCUGCUGAAAGACAUACAAGUUUUGCUCUUUCCGUGUACGACAAGUCUAAGCACAGUGGCAUGUACAUUCACUACUCUUCUUAUCAUGUUGAGAAAAGUGUUUUUCCAUGCUGUCCACAUUUGUGACCCUCAGUUCCUUGAAUCAGAAAUUUCCACUUCAUAAUUCAUUCUGUCAUCUUGGCUAUCCUUCCCAUGUGCUUUCUUCUCUCUCUGUUCCUCAGACAUCAAACUUACUUUUAGUGCCUUUCCUACUCCUGAUUCAGUACCUUGGAGAAACUGGCCAUUCUCUUUCUGACUCAGAGAGCACAAAAGUAGUGUUAGGCUUGCUGACACCAACAAAUCUCUUUUAUGUCAUGUCAGAGACCACAGUCACUGUGUGGUUUAAUGCUCCCUUAUACAGAACUUUCCUCAUAGAUGCCUUCCUUUCCCAUUACAUUGUAAAAUGUUGCAAAUUUCGUAACUGAUGUGUUCAGUCAAUCAUAGGGCCAGAGAGGUGGCUUAUAUACUGCAGUCAGGUGAGUCGAAGCUGGACCAUCCCCUAGUUUAAGUAGGUUAAUUCUUCGUAUAAAGAUCCCAUGAUGUUGCAGUGUCUGACAGAUGUUAUGAAUGGUUGGUUUUCUAAACCAUUCAUCAUAUGUUUUAGACAACGCAACAUCAUGGGAUCUUGAUACAAAGAAUUCUUAAUUACACUAGUGGAUGGUCCACCUUUGACUCACCUGAGUGCAGUAUAUAAGCCACCUCUCUGGCCCUGAACACAUUGAUUCCAGGCUGAGGGACUGAUUACCUCAAACUACUCCUCUCCUUAUACCUUCCUGCUUUGUAUUGGACUGGUGAAACCACUGUGUGGGAAAACAUUUCCUCAAUAAAGAUUCCCAUAUGUUGUACAAGUGUCUCAAUUCUUCAGGUUCUAUGCGAGGCAAUAAAUAUUUGAUUCAAGAAAAAAGAUUAGUGCUCUGAUCACUUGCA